rnacentral:misc_RNA from 1 species
AACGCACGAGACCUGCGGACCUGCGGAAGGAUCAUUACCGAGUGCGGGCCCUCGCGGCCCAACCUCCCACCCUUGUCUCUAUACACCUGUUGCUUUGGCGGGCCCACCGGGGCCACCUGGUCGCCGGGGGACGUCCGUCCCCGGGCCCGUGCCCGCCGAAGCGCUCUGUGAACCCUGAUGAAGAUGGGCUGUCUGAGUACUAUGAAAAUUGUCAAAACUUUCAACAAUGGAUCUCUAGAU